AGCAAUAGGGAAUAUUCCGCAAUGGACGAAAGUCUGACCGAGCAACGCCGCGUGAGUGAUGAAUGUUUUCUGAUCGUAAAACUCUAUUGUUACGAAAUAACCCGUACCGUUCGAAUAGGGCGGCGCCUUGACCGUACCUAACCAGAAACCCUCAGCUAACUACGUGCCAGCAGCCGCGGUAAUACGUAGGUGGCAAGCGUUGUCCGGAAUUAUUGGGCGUAAAGCGCGCGCAGGCGGUUUCUUAAGUGUGAUGUGAAAGCCCCCGGCUCAACCGGGGAGGGUCAUUGGAAACUGGGGAACUUGAGUGCAGAAGAGGAGAGUGGAAUUCCACGUGUAGCGGUGAAAUGCGUAGAGAUGUGGAGGAACACCAGUGGCGAAGGCGACUCUCUGGUCUGUAACUGACGCUGAGGCGCGAAAGCGUGGGGAGCGAACAGGAUUAGAUACCCUGGUAGUCCACGCCGUAAACGAUGAGUGCUAAGUGUUAGAGGGUUUCCGCCCUUUAGUGCUGCAGCAAACGCAUUAAGCACUCCGCCUGGGGAGUACGGUCGCAAGACUGAAACUCAAAGGAAUUGACGGGGGCCCGCACAAGCGGUGGAGCAUGUGGUUUAAUUCGAAGCAACGCGAAGAACCUUACCAGGUCUUGACAUCCUCUGACAACCCUAUAGAUAGGGCUUCCCCUUCGGGGGCAGAGUGACAGGUGGUGCAUGGUUGUCGUCAGCUCGUGUCGUGAGAUGUUGGGUUAAGUCCCGCAACGAGCGCAACCCUUGAUCUUAGUUGCCAGCAUUCAGUUGGGCACUCUAAGGUGACUGCCGGUGACAAACCGGAGGAAGGUGGGGAUGACGUUAAAUCAUCAUGCCCCUUAUGACCUGGGCUACACACGUGCUACAAUGGGCAGAACAAAGGGCAGCGAAGCCGCGAGUCUAAGCCAAUCCCACAAAUCUGUUCUCAGUUCGGAUCGCAGUCUGCAACUCGAUUGCGUGAAGCUGGAAUCGCUAGUAAUCGUGGAUCAGCAUGCCUCUGUCUACUCCGUCC
rnacentral:rRNA from 1 species